rnacentral:rRNA from 1 species
GACGAACCGUGCGAACGUUAUUCGGAAUCACUGGGCGUAAAGCGCGCGUAGGCGGUUAUUCAAGUCAGGGGUGAAAUCCUGAGGCUCAACCUCAGAAUUGCCUUUGAAACUGUAUGACUGGAGUAUUGGAGGGGAGUGUGGAAUUCCUAAUGUAGCAGUGAAAUGCGUAGAUAUUAGGAGGAACACCGGUGGCGAAGGCGACACUCUGGACAAUAACUGACGCUGAGGCGCGAAAGCGUGGGGAUCAAACAGG